GCACCCUGCUUUUCUGCCUGCCUUCUAUUUUUUCUCCUCUCAAGUCCCUCAGAGGCAACCCUCUAGCAAGGUUCCAUUUCUCAAGCUUGUCUUUAGAUUUAGUCAAGCUCUAGCCCUCCUACCUAAAUAAUGCCAUCAUCCCUGAACUCUCUAACUCUUCCUACUCCCAUCUGGGACAAAUGUAUGGAAUUGGAGACAGGGAAACUGAAGCAAGGAAAGGGAGAAGGACCAUCUUUGUUCUUGCCCCCCCCACCCCACUUCUAUCAUUGUUAUUUUAAUCUGGUAGCAAUUUCCUUUUCUUAGACUUUCCUCAGUGCAUAGCACAUCCUAUUGUCAUUUCAUAUUUACAGGAAAAGACCACAUCCCAUCAGUGAGGAAGAAGGGCAAAACCCUUCUAAUCACUCCCCUUCUCUACCUCAUCAUGAGAUCAGGAUAUAAUGAAGCAGGCGCAAUUGUGCCUAGCAACCAGAGCUGCCUCUUACCGUCUUGGCUUGAUGAAAGAAGGAUGAGUUUGCUUUUCGGAUGUCGGUUCACUCCUUUGUCUACUGUCAUCAAAGCCUCAGACUAACUGAAGAACUAAAAGGGAUUACUGCACAAAGACACAUUGGGAUAUGAAAAGCGUCUGUAUCAGCCAUCAUAUGGUCCUGUCCCACAGAGGGACCCACCUGAGCAUCAGCAUACCACUCAUCCAGUGCUUGAACGUCCAUGGCACCCUCCAGCCAGCACUACCUCCUCAGUGCUCAUUGUGCACCAUCUCCAGCUCACACGCUCCUGUGUCUGUUUUAAAUUCUCCUGAAUAUAUUUCUGUGUCAUUGGCCUCCUCUCAAGAGUCAACGGACAGUCAUCCUCAAAUCAGCUCUGGGUUUGAGAUCUUGCCGAAGUUCUGGAAACUUUGUAUAAAGUUCAGGUGAUGACACAAGAAAGAGAAGACUGAGCUGCUAAAAGGAGGGUUGAGGAAGGAGCCUCAAUUCAGAGAUUUGGAAGAAAGUGGCAUUAUCCAACCAACUCACAAGGGUUUUAACAGUUGUUAACGGUUGCAUGUGUAACUCUUCUCAAGAACAGAACUUUGGGGAAAUUUUCGUCAUAUCAACCAAAGGAGAUUUGGGACUUCAAGAACUUCUCAGAUCCUGGAAAGCUCCCAGGAGUCGACUUUCUCCUCUAUCUGGUGUGCGGCUGUCCCUAACUCUCUAGGAAGUGAGAAAAGGGACAUAAAAUUGCAAAAGCAUAAGAAAAAAAGAGGGUUCCAACUCUUUGUUGUUAAUUCUGUUGUGAUUCUAUGUGCACGGACAUGAGGAGUCAGCACAGAGGCAAACUGUCCAUCUAAGACCGAUCACGCAAUCCUGCCCUGCAGUCUGCUGUCAUUUCACGGGUGUGAACACAGUCUGACAUCAGGAUAAUAGGUGCUGGUGCCGGGUCUUUCUUUAUUUUUUCUUUCCUUUCUUCCUUUCUUUUUAUUGCAGUAUAGCAUGUAUGCUCAUCAGAGAGAAACAGAGAGGAUAAAGGAAAAAGCUGCAAUC